UACGAAGGGUGCAAGCGUUAUCCGGAUUCACUGGGUUUAAAGGGUGCGUAGGUGGGGAGGUAAGUCAGCGGUGAAAUCCCCGAGCUUAACUUGGGAACUGCCAUUGAUACUAUCUCUCUUGAAUACCUUGGAGGUGAGCGGAAUAUGUCAUGUAGCGGUGAAAUGCUUAGAUAUGACAUAGAACACCAAUUGCGAAGGCAGCUCACUACACGGUCAUUGACACUGAGGCACGAAAGCGUGGGGAUCAAACAGGA
rnacentral:rRNA from 1 species